rnacentral:rRNA from 1 species
UACAGAGGUCUCAAGCGUUGUUCGGAUUCAUUGGGCGUAAAGGGUGCGUAGGUGGCGUCGUAAGUGGGGUGUGAAAUCCCGGGGCUUAACCCCGGGACUGCAUUCCAUGCUGCGGUGCUUGAGGACUGGAGAGGAGACUGGAAUUUACGGUGUAGCAGUGAAAUGCGUAGAGAUCGUAAGGAAGACCAGUGGCGAAGGCGGGUCUCUGGACAGUUCCUGACACUGAGGCACGAAGGCCAGGGGAGCAAACGGG